GGGUGAGUAAUGCCUAGGAAUCUGCCUGGUAGUGGGGGACAACGUUUCGAAAGGAACGCUAAUACCGCAUACGUCCUACGGGAGAAAGUGGGGGAUCUUCGGACCUCACGCUAUCAGAUGAGCCUAGGUCGGAUUAGCUAGUUGGUGGGGUAAAGGCCUACCAAGGCGACGAUCCGUAACUGGUCUGAGAGGAUGAUCAGUCACACUGGAACUGAGACACGGUCCAGACUCCUACGGGAGGCAGCAGUGGGGAAUAUUGGACAAUGGGCGAAAGCCUGAUCCAGCCAUGCCGCGUGUGUGAAGAAGGUCUUCGGAUUGUAAAGCACUUUAAGUUGGGAGGAAGGGCAGUAAGUUAAUACCUUGCUGUUUUGACGUUACCAACAGAAUAAGCACCGGCUAACUUCGUGCCAGCAGCCGCGGUAAUACGAAGGGUGCAAGCGUUAAUCGGAAUUACUGGGCGUAAAGCGCGCGUAGGUGGUUUGGUAAGAUGGAUGUGAAAUCCCCGGGCUCAACCUGGGAACUGCAUCCAUAACUGCCUGACUAGAGUACGGUAGAGGGUGGUGGAAUUUCCUGUGUAGCGGUGAAAUGCGUAGAUAUAGGAAGGAACACCAGUGGCGAA
rnacentral:rRNA from 1 species